GAUGAACGCUGGCGGCGUGCCUAAUACAUGCAAGUCGAGCGACCGGACGAUAAGCUUGCUCCUCUGAUGUUAGCGGCGGACGGGCGAGUAACACAUGGAUAACCUACCUAUAAGACUGGGAUAACUUCGGGAAACCGGAGCUAAUACUUCAUAAUACUUUGAACCGCAUGGUUCAAAGGUGAAAGACGGUCUUGCGGUCACUUAUAGAUGGAUCCGCGCUGCAUUAUCUAGUUGGUAAGGUAACGGCCUACCAAGGCAACGAUGCAUAGCCGAUCUGAGAGGGGGAUAGGCCACCCUGGAACUGGGCCACGGUCCAGACUCCUACGGGAGGCAGCAGUAGGGAAUUGUGCGCAAUGGGCGAAAGCCUGACGCAGCCAUGCCGAGUGAGUGAUGAAGCUCUUCGGCUCGUAAAACUCUGUUAUUAGGGAAGAACAUAUGUGUCAGUAACUGUGCCCAUUUUGACGGUACCCAAGCAAAAAGCAACGGCUAACUUCGUG
rnacentral:rRNA from 1 species